AGUCGAACGGAAAGGCCCUUCGGGGUACUCGAGUGGCGAACGGGUGAGUAACACGUGGGUGAUCUGCCCUGCACUUUGGGAUAAGCCUGGGAAACUGGGUCUAAUACCGAAUAGGACUCCGGACUGCAUGGUCUGGGGUGGAAAGCUUUUGCGGUGUGGGAUGGGCCCGCGGCCUAUCAGCUUGUUGGUGAGGUGACGGCUUACCAAGGCGACGACGGGUAGCCGGCCUGAGAGGGUGACCGGCCACACUGGGACUGAGAUACGGCCCAGACUCCUACGGGAGGCAGCAGUGGGGAAUAUUGCACAAUGGGCGCAAGCCUGAUGCAGCGACGCCGCGUGAGGGAUGACGGCCUUCGGGUUGUAAACCUCUUUCGCCAGGGACGAAGCGCAAGUGACGGUACCUGGAGAAGAAGGACCGGCCAACUACGUGCCAGCAGCCGCGGUAAUACGUAGGGUCCGAGCGUUGUCCGGAAUUACUGGGCGUAAAGAGCUCGUAGGUGGUUUGUCGCGUUGUUCGUGAAAACUCACAGCUUAACUGUGGGCGUGCGGGCGAUACGGGCAGACUAGAGUACUGCAGGGGAGACUGGAAUUCCUGGUGUAGCGGUGGAAUGCGCAGAUAUCAGGAGGAACACCGGUGGCGAAGGCGGGUCUCUGGGCAGUAACUGACGCUGAGGAGCGAAAGCGUGGGGAGCGAACAGGAUUAGAUACCCUGGUAGUCCACGCCGUAAACGGUGGGUACUAGGUGUGGGUUUCCUUCCUUGGGAUCCGUGCCGUAGCUAACGCAUUAAGUACCCCGCCUGGGGAGUACGGCCGCAAGGCUAAAACUCAAAGAAAUUGACGGGGGCCCGCACAAGCGGCGGAGCAUGUGGAUUAAUUCGAUGCAACGCGAA
rnacentral:rRNA from 1 species